GGUCAAGCUACAAAGGGCUCAUGGUGGAUACCUU
rnacentral:rRNA from 1 species